rnacentral:lncRNA from 1 species
CAUCUAGAGAAGAAAAUUAGGUGGAGCAUGACAGAUCGGUCUACUACUACCUCAUCAGCUCUAUCAUCUACUCCAUCUGCAUCAUUCACUCUAUCAUCUAUGUUUGAAAUGAUAGAUAGGAGUCGAUGCGUGUAGCCAACUCAUCGGCUCACUAUUGAUCCUAAGUAGCCUACUGUCGAUCCCCAGUAGCCUAUCUCUAUAUCUCCACC